rnacentral:rRNA from 1 species
UACGUAGGGUGCAAGCGUUAAUCGGAAUUACUGGGCGUAAAGCGUGCGCAGGCGGUUGUGCAAGACAGAUGUGAAAUCCCCGGGCUUAACCUGGGAACUGCAUUUGUGACUGCACGGCUAGAGUACGGCAGAGGGGGAUGGAAUUCCGCGUGUAGCAGUGAAAUGCGUAGAGAUGUGGAGGAACACCGAUGGCGAAGGCAGCCCCCUGGGCCAACACUGACGCUCAGGCACGAAAGCGUGGGGAGCAAACAGG